AAUGAUCCCCUCAACUCCGUGCGUCGCCACCAACAGCGAAAUAGGAGCGGGCGAGGAAGACGAGAUCGAGAGAAGGAGCUUCGCUCGUCCCACCCAGUUGUCCCGCUCGUCGAAAACCCCUACCUUUGCUCCUCAGGCGAUCGAUCCCGUCGUUGGGCCCUGCCCCCAGAUAGAGUUUUUGGUCCUUCGGCAGCUACUCAAGUGCUCGGCCUAUUGUCAGAGCUGGAAUGGAGGGCAUAAAUGAGCAUGCUUCUGAUGAUUCUUGGUGUGAUGAUGGGCUUCUGAAUGAAAUCUCAGAUGCUGACUUAAACAGAGAACAGAAGAGGCGUUAUGAUCAAUUUUAUACAGUAUCCUUGCAAUCUAUAAAUGAUAUGCAUAUCCUUUGUCCAAAACUCUUCAUAGUAAAACUUUUAGGGCUUUAAACUUGAGGAUGUAUCAUAUGGAACCCUUGACAAAAGUUUAUAUGGGUUAUCGAGAUGGUAUAUCUGCAGGAAAGGAAGCUUCUGCCCAAGAGGGCUUCAACAUUGGGUUUAAGCAAUCUGCAAGCAGUGGUUACAAAUGGGGAAUUGUUAGAGGCAUCACAAGUGCAUUUGUAAACCUCCCAGAUCAAUUCAAAGAAAAGUUAGUUAAGAAGCUUGAAGACAGAUGCACGUUUCAAAGUCUUUACAAGCCCGUUCAAGAGAUUUCCACGGACGAUGCUCUGAGAAUGUAUCACUUUCAACUACAACAAGAAAAUAAACAAUCUCAUCAAAGAUCAAAAGCGACAGUAUCAUCGGCAAUCGAAGAUUUUGACUGCAAUAAGUUAGACUUCUUUUUCAAGGAGCUUAUGUUACUUGUAAGUGAGUCUUCUGAAAUCAAAGCAAGUGUUGAUGUUGUAAAAGGAGAGGAAGAAGAAUGACCUUGAUGUUGAAGUACUUGGAGGGAUCGUUCAAAUUCACUUACGUCUGAAUUUUCUGGACAGAUUGUAAUUUUUUGAUGGCCUCAGAUUGCAAUGAAAAGAACUGAACCAUUGCUCCA